ensembl:snoRNA
AGCAGAUGGUGGCUUUUUCUCACAAUGGUCUGUGAAUGCCACUGUGGGCAGUGCUGAUAAUGCCCAUGGAAAUGAAAAAAA